AGUGGCGAACGGGUGAGUAACGCGUGGGUAACCUGCCUUAUAUCGGGGACAACUGACCGGAAAGGUGAGCUAAUACGGGAUAACUGUCAAGAUCGCAUGAUCUUAACAGGAAAGGCGGCCUCUAUUUAUAAGCUGCCGAAAAGGAUGGACCCGCGUCUGAUUAGCUAGUUGGUGAGGUAACGGCUCACCAAGGCGACGAUCAGUAGCCGGCCUGAGAGGGUGAACGGCCACACUGGGACUGAGACACGGCCCAGACUCCUACGGGAGGCAGCAGUGGGGAAUCUUCCGCAAUGGACGAAAGUCUGACGGAGCAACGCCGCGUGAGUGAAGAAGGUUUUCGGAUUGUAAAACUCUGUCUUUUGGGAAGAACGGCAGAUAUAUGAAUAAUAUAUGUGAUUGACGGUACCAAAGGAGGAAGCCCCGGCUAACUACGUGCCAGCAGCCGCGGUAAUACGUAGGGGGCAAGCGUUGUCCGGAAUUAUUGGGCGUAAAGAGCGCGCAGGCGGCUAUUUAAGUCUACCGUGAAAGCUUACGGCUCAACCGUAACGGGUCGGUGGAUACUGGAUGGCUUGAGGGCAGGAGAGGAAAGUGGAAUUCCCAGUGUAGCGGUGAAAUGCGUAGAGAUUGGGAGGAACACCAGUGGCGAAGGCGACUUUCUGGACUGUUACUGACGCUGAGGCGCGAAAGCUGGGGGAGUGAACGGGAUUAGAUACCCCGGUAAUCCCAGCC
rnacentral:rRNA from 1 species